rnacentral:lncRNA from 1 species
AAGAAUUGUUCGAGUACAUAGGCUAUGUUCAAUAGAAUAUAAGACUUGAUUUUCAAGUCGAUUCUGAGUCAAAUUUUUUGAAUACGAAUAUUCUUGACUAAUUAUGUUAGGUAACUAAUAAGAAAAUAUAAUAUGUUGCAAUUUUUAAGAAUAAAGUUUAAAAACAAUUAAUGAAAUGCAUAUGACACGAGUGUAUAGUUAUGCAACUUGACAUAUAUAAUAUAGUUAUCAAAAAUAUAUUAAAUAAAAUUCAUAUUACACAAAUAUAAAAUUUAAAUUUCUCAAAACAAAAAAAAACAAAAAAAUAUACCCGCCCUUUGAAGGGCGGGUCAAAAUCUAGUACAAUAUUAAAAUAGCAUUAAAUUUGGUGUUUUGGACCUGGUG